AUACUUACCUGGCAGGGGAGAUACCAUGAUCACAAAGGUGGUUUUCCCAGGGCGAGGCUUAUCCAUUGCACUCCGGAUGUGCUGACCCCUGCGAUUUCCCCAAAUGUGGGAAACUCGACUGCAUAAUUUGUGGUAGUGGGGGACUGCGUUCGCGCUCUCCCCUG
rnacentral:snRNA from 1 species